UACGGCGUUAUCACGUCGAAACAUUGGUUCCCGUACGUUCACCGAAAAUAAGCAACGUCGAGCCUGGUUAUUACUUAGAUGGGUGGCCGCUUGGGAAUACUAGGCGCUGAAAG